UGGGGAGUAGCCAAGUGGUAAGGCAACGGACUUUGACUCCGUGAUGCGCAGGUUCGAAUCCUGCCUCCCCAG
rnacentral:tRNA from 1 species